rnacentral:rRNA from 1 species
UACAGAGGUCUCGAGCGUUAGGCGGAAUCACUGGGCUUAAAGCGUGUGUAGGUGGAUGCCUAAGUACCUUGUGAAAUCCCACAGCUUAACUGUGGAACUGCUUGGUAUACUGGGUGUCUUGAGUCACUCAGGGGCGAGCGGAACAAAUGGUGGAGCGGUGAAAUGCGCAGAUAUCAUUUGGAACACCAAUGGUGAAAACAGCUCGCUGGGAGUGUGCUGACGCUGAGACACGAAAGCCAGGGGAGCGAACGGG